UGGUGUACAGGUGGUGCAUGGCUGUCGUCAGCUCGUGUCGUGAGAUGUUGGGUUAAGUCCCGCAACGAGCGCAACCCUUGUCCUGUAUUGCCAGCGGGUUAUGCCGGGGACUUGCAGGAGACUGCCGGGGUCAACUCGGAGGAAGGUGGGGAUGACGUCAAGUCAUCAUGCCCCUUAUGUCCAGGGCUUCACACAUGCUACAAUGGCCGGUACAAAGGGCUGCGAAAUCGCGAGAUGGAGCGAAUCCCAAAAAACUGGUCUCAGUUCGGAUUGGGGUCUGCAACUCGACCCCAUGAAGUCGGAGUCGCUAGUAAUCGCAGAUCAGCAAUGCUGCGGUGAAUACGUUCCCGGGCCUUGUACACACCGCCCGUCAAGUCACGAAAGUCGGUAACACCCGAAGCCGGUGGCCCAACCCUUGUGGGGGGAGCCGUCGAAGGUGGGACUGGCGAUUGGGACUAAGUCGUAACAAGGUAGCCGUACCGGAAGGUGCGGCUGGAUCACCUCCUUU
rnacentral:rRNA from 1 species